UACGGAGGAUCCAAGCGUUAUCCGGAUUCAUUGGGUUUAAAGGGUGCGUAGGCGGAAUGAUAAGUCAGUGGUGAAAUCCUGCAGCUUAACUGCAGAACUGCCUCUGAUACUGUCAAUCUUGAGUACAUUUGAUGUGGGCGGAAUGUGUCAUGUAGCGGUGAAAUGCAUAGAUAUGACACAGAAUACCGAUUGCGAAGGCAGCUCACAAAACUGUAACUGACGC
rnacentral:rRNA from 1 species